UAAACCAGGAUUAGAUACCCUAUUAUAUUUAAACAAAUUGGGUAGUAUUAUUAAUAAAAACCUUUAUACUUUGGCGGCAUUUUAUCUUAUUAGAGGAAUAUGUUCAUUAAUCGAAACCACACGAUAGUUUUUACUUACUAUAAAAUUUUAUAUACCCCCGUCUAAAGAAUUUAUUUAAAAUUUUUAUUCCAAAUUAUAUUAAAAAAAGUUAGGUAAAGGUGUAGACUAUUAGUAAGAUUAAAUGUAUUACAUUAAAAAAAAUUUAAGGAUAAAACAGUUAACUGUUUAUUAAAAGAGGAUUUAUAAGUAAUUUACUUUUAAUAAAAAUUAAUGAAUAAGAAAAUAAAUGUGCACAUAUCGCCCGUCACUCUCAC
rnacentral:rRNA from 1 species